CCAAUGCACCACCAUGUUGACAUGGUACGUGCCAUAAAUGCAUUAUAAUUUAUUCUCAUCUGUUUAGAAGACACUUCAUUUGGCUUAGUCAGAAUGGGACCUUAAAUGAAGAUGCAUUAUUGUACCGUAUAUGAAACAACACAAGAAUGAUCCAGAAGAAGUAAAACUACUCUGCACAUACUCCACUACUGAGCCCUGCCUUACAGGCCUUGUUCCCAAGCUAAUGCCAGCUGAGCUGUGGAUACACCAAUAUGUGGAAUGCCUUCAUCAUCAAUGACGUGUAGUGUUAAAUAUUAAACAAAUGAGAAAAUGUCCAAUAGUAAAAAACGGAAGUACGACGAGCAGCUGAAUAUACCCACAGACUUUAGGUGCAUUAUUCACAACAGUGGACUUAGCAAUCAUGGUGACUGUGUAACACUAAAUUCUACAAAAUUAAAAGUCUCUGCUGAACAAAAACUAGAUCAGCUGCACUCAAUUCGCAACAAGCG